GACGAACGCUGGCGGCGUGCUUAACACAUGCAAGUCGAACGGAAAGGCCCUGCUUUUGUGGGGUGCUCGAGUGGCGAACGGGUGGGUAACACGUGAGUAACCUGCCCUUGACUUUGGGAUAACUUCAGGAAACUGGGGCUAAUACCGGAUAGGAGCUCCUGCUGCAUGGUGGGGGUUGGAAAGUUUCGGCGGUUGGGGAUGGACUCGCGGCUUAUCAGCUUGUUGGUGGGGUAGUGGCUUACCAAGGCUUUGACGGGUAGCCGGCCUGAGAGGGUGACCGGCCACAUUGGGACUGAGAUACGGCCCAGACUCCUACGGGAGGCAGCAGUGGGGAAUAUUGCACAAUGGGCGGAAGCCUGAUGCAGCAACGCCGCGUACGGGAUGACGGCCUUCGGGUUGUAAACCGCUUUCGCCUGUGACGAAGCGUGAGUGACGGUAAUGGGUAAAGAAGCACCGGCUAACUACGUG
rnacentral:rRNA from 1 species